AUACGGAGGAUCCGAGCGUUAUCCGGAUUUAUUGGGUUUAAAGGGAGCGCAGGCGGAGAUGCAAGCGUGACGUCAAAUUUCGGGGCUCAACCCCGUCUCGCGUCGCGAACUGCGUCCCUUGGUUGCGGGAAGUGGAGGCGGAACUCGUGGGGUAGCGGUGAAAUGCAUAGAUAUCACGAAGAACACCGAUCGCGAAGGCAGCCUUCCGGCCCGUCAACGACGCUCAUGCUCGAAGGUGCGGGUAUCAAACAGGAUUAGAUGCCCUGGUAGUCCGCACAGUAAACGAUGGACACCCGCGGUUUGGCCUGUAUGGCUGAGCCGCCAAGCGAAAGCGUUAAGUGUCCCACCUGGGGAGUACGCCGGCAACGGUGAAACUCAAAUGAAUUGACGGGG
rnacentral:rRNA from 1 species